rnacentral:lncRNA from 1 species
AAUAGGUAACUCUGGAGGCUAGUAAAAGAAGGCAUGAAUUCAAACCUAUUGCUUUUUCCCCUUCUUCUUUUCACAGAUCUCCAGGAUGAUUUUUCCCAGGUGGGAUUUUUUGUAUAGCAAAGGCUGGUGCUGCGUGAAUGGCUGCUGCCCACCCGAGAGGCUGUGCUUCAGAUUGAGAGAACGCAGGAUCAGCUUGUUUGUAACAGAGCUGGGUAUCUCAGUGAAGCCCGUUACAUGGUUGAGAAAGCUUUUUUAGACACACAGAAAUGUUUCAAUGACUUUAUGGAUCAUGGGAAUCCCAAGUGGGAAAACAGGAAGACAGGAAUGCUGAGGAGGAGAGAACGGAUGAUUCUGCGCGAGCCCGACAGUCACAGGCAGCGAGUGCAGCCAAAAGCAAAGCCCGUUGUAAUCCUUGCAAGGAAGGAGACUGAGUAUCUUGGAGAUCCAACAGAAAUAAUACAACACGUCCUUCGGCAGGUCUGUGAUCAGUCUUCUCAUGAACAUAUUAAUGAAGCAGUAGAGACAAAAAUAAAGAAGAUUUCUUCUCUCACACG